CCUACGGGUGGCAGCAGUGGGGAAUUUUGGACAAUGGGGGAAACCCUGAUCCAGCCAUGCCGCGUGCGGGAAGAAGGCCUUCGGGUUGUAAACCGCUUUUGUCAGGGAAGAAAUCCUUUGGGCUAAUAACCUAGGGGGAUGACGGUACCUGAAGAAUAAGCACCGGCUAACUACGUGCCAGCAGCCGCGGUAAUACGUAGGGUGCAAGCGUUAAUCGGAAUUACUGGGCGUAAAGCGUGCGCAGGCGGUCGCACAAGACAGAUGUGAAAUCCCCGGGCUUAACCUGGGAACUGCAUUUGUGACUGUGUGGCUAGAGUACGGUAGAGGGGAGUGGAAUUCCGCGUGUAGCAGUGAAAUGCGUAGAUAUGCGGAGGAACACCGAUGGCGAAGGCAGCUCCCUGGACCUGUACUGACGCUCAUGCACGAAAGCGUGGGGAGCAAACAGGAUUAGAUACCCUAGUAGUC
rnacentral:rRNA from 1 species